rnacentral:rRNA from 1 species
CGGAUCGCAGGCUGCAACCCGCCUGCGUGAAGUCGGAAUCGCUAGUAAUCGCGGAUCAGCAUGCCGCGGUGAAUACGUUCCCGGGCCUUGUACACACCGCCCGUCACACCAUGAGAGUCGGGAACACCCGAAGUCCGUAGCCUAACAGCAAUGAGGGCGCGGCCGAAGGUGGGUUCGAUAAUUGGGGUGAAGUCGUAACAAGGUACC